ACGUAGGGUGCGAGCGUUAAUCGGAAUUACUGGGCGUAAAGCGUGCGCAGGCGGUUUCGUAAGCUGGAGGUGAAAUCCCCGGGCUUAACCUGGGAAUGGCCUUCAGGACUGCGAGGCUAGAGUGCGGCAGAGGGAGGUGGAAUUCCACGUGUAGCAGUGAAAUGCGUAGAUAUGUGGAGGAACACCGAUGGCGAAGGCAGCCUCCUGGGCCAGCACUGACGCUCAUGCACGAAAGCGUGGGGAGCAAACAGGAUUAGAUACCCUGGUAGUCCACGCCCUAAACGAUGUCAACUAGGUGUUGGGGAAGGUGACUUCCUUAGUACCGCAGCUAACGCGUGAAGUUGACCGCCUGGGGAGUACGGCCGCAAGGUUA
rnacentral:rRNA from 1 species